CCUGAUAGCUCAGUUGGUAAAGAAUCUGCCUGCAAUGCAGAAGACCCCAGUUUGAUUCCUGGGUUAGG
rnacentral:tRNA from 1 species